CCAUCACAGAUGAGGUGAGCCAGCCACAAUGAAGACAGAUCACUGCACACUGCGCGCGCAUGUGCGCGCACGCACACACACACACACACACACACACACACACACACACGCGCGCGCGCGCGCACACACACACACACGAGGGGCCGUUAACAGAGGUACUGAGACAAAUACUGAGAAACAGAGUCAAAGACAGACAUCCACACAAAGGCAGAGGAGCAAGAAACAAGGGAAGGCCCUUUAGACAAAGAUGUCUGUAGAGUCAUAAAGGGGCCAAGGUGGAAGGGAAGACAGUGGACAGCUACAGGCCGAGAGAGCUCGAGAGCAGACAGGCCUAGGGCCUGCAGAGGUCGGCUCAGCCUUUUCUUCAGAAGGAGUUACCUGGCUCACAGUCGAGCAACAGAGGAGAGAGAAAAGACAAGCCUGGACUCUGAGGUCGCGCCGGCUAGUCUGGGCCAACUCACAGGGACACUGCUCUUCAAAUGAAAAGGGCUAGCAGGUGUGGCUAGAAGCAGUGCCGCCUGUCCCAUUGUGGCCUCUAGCCCCGAGGUACCUGGGCCAGACCUGAUCUGACAGCUCUAUGCAAAUACGGCUUGGCAGGGGGCCCUGACAAUGUUUUAUAGAACGUUGUCGUCGUCCGAAUGGUCUGGAGAGCCAGGUGGGGUUGGCUGCAGCAGGUACGCCAGGCAGAAGCAGAAAGGGGACGGCAGGGCUCAGUGUCUGGUUCUGCAAAAAAUACAAACCCCAAAUUUCCAUUUGGCUCCAGUGGGCAAGGGAAGUGGGGAGGGAGAAGAGGCGGGCGGCAAGCAGGAAGCCAGCUCAGAUGGGUGAGGGGUAAAGAAGGAAGUGGGGAGGGAGAAGAGGGGGGACAAGAACAGAGAUAGAGAAAGCAAGAGACAGAGAAGGUGGGUAGGGAAGGUGGGACAGGAGACUUCUGCUCUCCACUCCAUCUGGGCCAGGAAGGCAGGAGAAGCUGGGAUGAACUAGAAACGAUUCAAACUAAGGCUGUCGAUUCGUUGGUAGAGCGCUCCAAUGGAAUCCCUGAAAGGCCAGGGCGCCAUCCCCAGCGCCACAGAAAAUCUGGCAUGGUGGUACAUGUCUAUACUCUUAGAAUUUGGAAGACAGAGGAAAGGCAAGCAGGAUCUUAAGGCCAGCAUCAGCUACAUGACAAGUUUGAGGCCAGCCUGGACUGUAUGAGACUAUCUCAGAAAAAAAAAAUUAGCAUCAGGGAAGGAAGGAAGAAGGAAAGAUGGGGUGAAGUGAUACUAUGUUACAAAAGAGAAAAACAACAACAACAACAUACGGACACAAAGGGCAAGAGAGAAAAAUAAAUCAGAACUAGAACCCUGAACAUGCAAAGGCCCUGAGGUGGGGCCAAAAAUAAAAAGCCUAGGUCCCCGAGGCCAUCUGCUAGAAAAAAAGAAAAAAAAAAAAAAAAAAAAGAGGAGCAGUGGCCUGGAGGGUAGGACUGGAAAGGGCACUGGUAAAAUCUAACCCGAAUUCCUUUCUUUUGAAGAAAUAAACAGAGAGUGGGGGUGGGAAUCACUGGAAAGAACUCCAAAUCCCCGGUGGUUUCAGAGCUAGCCUCCCAGUUACAGAGUCCCCUUUACAGGGCUGGGUACUCCACAGUGUGCCUGUGCUAACAGAGCUGGAUGGAAGCGCUCAGGCCCUAAAGGAAGAACGGACAGACUGAACAAAGCACCGAAGACUGGCGGGGAGGAGAACGUCCAAUGAAGACAGAGGCGGAGAAGCCGCAGGCCGGAACUGGAGAAGUCCAGAGAUGGGAGCCAAACUGAAGACAGGCCUGAGGGCAGAUCACCGCCCCUGUCCUCCGAUGAAGGUUUUGAUGUUUGAGGUCAAAGAAAAGGAAGGACAUCUCUGAGAACUGGAGCGACCCUUGAGAGGAUUGUACAAGGAGAGGUAAAGAGGAAGAGAUUGGCCAUAUCUGAGGCAGUUCAGAAGGACUCUAUCAAGGUCCAAACCUGGUACCCUCCUACAAGGUACUUGGGAGGUCUAAGCUUCGCUCUCAUGUCAUUUAUACCUCAUUUCCUACCUGCCUGCCCCUGCCUCUGCACACACAUACUUUCCUGGUUCUAAUCCUAUGGUCCCUCUUCCAUGGAAGCUAUUUUCUCAGGUACAUGGGUCCCCAAAGUGAUAGUUCUGCCCCGAAAACCAUCCUCUGCCUGUUUGAAUAUUCUUAGUUAUUGCUGUAAUGAACUUUUAGCAGAGUCAGAAUGAUACCUGAGUUCCCCCCCACACACACACAGGCUUAAAGCCUAGGAAGAAAUGUAGGCUAGGUCCCUCCACAAAGGUUUUCUGGAACAUUCUCCAGAAUAAAAGUCUCAAUUCAGAGACAAAGAAAGGUCUAGACAAUAGUAAGAAGUUUUUCUUCACUUAGGCACUGAAAAAGCCAGAAGGAAAUCUAGGUCUUGGGACCCUGGGCUAGCAUUCCUGAGGGUACAUCUCUGCUUUUGAGUUUAUGAGGUUUAUUACAUUCCCAUUCCCAGCAGAUCCAGGGUAAAUACUAAUCUCAUAGAAUCUUCAACCCAUCAUUACGGAUGCCCUUUGCAGGUGCCUCUAGCCCUUUUAGAGAGAUCACCUGAGUCUAUGAGCAGGAUCAACCUAUCUAGGAAGGCAUGAGUCUUAACUCCAUGAGCAUUCAGCUCUUCACCGCAAUGGCUAAAAAAGGUGGAGGAGAGAGAUACUGUGCAUACACAACCUGGGUGCACCCCGAGAUACCAGGACUGUACUUCUCCAUAAGAUACAGGAACACAUUAAUGACUGUGGGUCCUGGGGAACAGAGUGUUCUAGUUACAUAAGAACUUACUGAAUUCCUUUUUCUUUCUUUGGAGACAAGGUCUCACUGAGCUUCCUGGGCAAGCUUUGAACUUUCAACCCUCCUGCCUCCGUACUCAAGAAGCUGGGGUUACAGACCUGUGCUACCACUAUUACCCAAGCAAACUUUCUAGAAGUACAAAGCCAUGUGCUCCUAUAACUAGAAGCAUCACUAUGAAGCAGGAUGGCAUCUCUCAGUAUUAUUCUAGAGAACUCUGGGUAUAGGUAUACUUAUGUAUGGAGAUAUUUUAUUUGUACUGAAAUGUGAUUUUAUUUGUACGUUAAUAAAUAAAGUUGCCUGGGGGUCAGAGCUAAUAGCAAGCCAUAGCAGAAGCUGGGUGGUGGUGGUGCACACCUUUAAUCCCAGCUCUUGGGAGGCAGAGCUAGGCAGAUCUCUGUGUGUUCAAGGAUACAGCCAGCAUGGAGACACACACCUUUAAUCUCAAUACCAACCAUAGAAGACCUGGAGGUCUGUACAGAUAGGCAGUGAUGAGGAGGUCAUGUGGUUGGGUUUAUGACCAAUGAGAAGGCAGAAUAGAAAGUCAAUAAAAAGGACAAACAAAGAGGAAGGAGGUCUCUUGGCUGAAGAGGACAGCAGCAGCAGUGAAGGGUAAGGUUUUUAGCUCUUACCUCUGAUCUCUUGGGCUUUCAUCUCUGCAUUGGCUCUGUGUUUCUUAUUUAAUAAGAUUGUUCAUCUACACUUAUGAUUUCUGUUUUCUUUUUUCUUUAGAUAAACACCUAUCAAAUAAUCAAUUCAUGAUCGUUCAAUCAAGGUAGAUUUGAAAAGUUAAAGAAAGAAACACUGAAUCAGGACAGUUAAAGGGGAAAGAAUAGGUCAACAACUAUAGGUCAACAACGAUCUAAGAGAGAAGUUGAGAGAAAGUGUAGGGUAGACUUUUAGUCCACAGCAAUUAACCUAACUAGGAGAAUUCAACAUAAUAGUGGUGGGCUUUGGACAUGAUCAAGCCUCACCUUGACUUAGAUCUAUGCUCAUUCUAUAUUUUAUUCUGGGUCUAUGUUCAGAUGAUGAGAUAGAAAACCCCUUGGAAUAACAGAUAUACUCUCAUUCAUCUUCUGAAAUGACUAGCCUUGCAUAUCAAGGGUUCUCAAUAAAUACUUAUUCAGUUAUCUUCAUUAAUGAUUAUAUCAAUUAAAUAUACUUUAUGUAACAAAUAUUUAUUGAGUGCCUACUACCUACUAGGCACUGUUCUGGACUCAGGAUGCAAAGACAGACUUGGUAGACCUGCCCUUACCCACUAAAAUUCCACUAGACACACACACACACACACAGACACAGACACACACAGACACACACAGACACACACACACACAGACACACACACACACACACACACACACAAAACGCUGUGUCUUCACCAAAAGGGAAAACUUGGAACCUUCUGCCUACAGACACUAUAGGGUAAAGCAGAAUGGAGGAAAGUAUCAGAGGUUGUAGGAAGAAUCCUCAAAGAACUGUUGGGUAUCUAUGCUGGACUUUGAGGAAUGUACAGGAGUUAUAUUGGACAGCAGGGAGGGAAGGGAGAAUAAAAUGUUCUCAGAAGACAGAAGGCCUGGGUAGCAGGGCAGUCGGAAAAACACAUCCAUUCAGGAUCCUAGACGUAUCUUAGCCUGACCACUGUGUCCUGGAAGCCAAGCAUCGGAAUGGACAUGCUGUAGAAAUGGGAAGAAGCUGUUCUUGCUAUCACAUUCUAUCAGGGGAGCUGGAGGAGGUGAUAACCAGUUAACGGCUGAAGAGUUCCAUCAGUGUCAUGCUAGACAAUACCAGCUAACCAAUGGUGAAGAGAUAAGACCAUGGGAGUGGGUUUAGUAGAGCUGUGGUAUGGUUGCCCCUCAACUCUAAGCAUGGGGGUGUGGAUCUUAGAACGUUAGCAGGCGCUUCCUGCAUGAAUAUCGUUAAUGGGUAUUUACUGAAUGGAUAAAUAAACCUGAUUUUGUUACA